GGGUGGGGAAGGAGAUUAGGUAUUCCCAGAGACUGAGGUCAGGGACAUCAUUGGAAGCCUUGGGUCAUAAAGGUAUGGAUUCAAGAGAUAGAAUGUCCUUUGUGAGACACAGUCCUGAAAGUAGGAGGGGGAGCUAUGUAUAACCAUUCUAAAUAGAUUGGAGUCAGUUUGUAAAAGGCUUUAAAUGCCAAACAGAGGAAUUUGUAUUUUACCCCAGAGACAACAGGAAGCUUCCUAGGCUUUUUGAGCAAGGAAAUGAUUUGGUCAGGCCUGUACUGAUGUAUAAGUUAACCUUGAUAGUUUACCCAUCAAUGUUGAAUCUUGAAUUUUUCUUGUGUUAUCUUUCUUGUGCAGACCUAGUUCUGCUGCCAAGAGAGUUUCUCAGAUGUGAGUCUGGAGGGAAGGGGAGGGAAAGGGAGAAAGAAGAGAGGAGAGGAAGGAGUUUGAGGAGCCCAUAACAGAAACAGGGAGGAUCAGCUGCUGGAAUGGUUAACCUGGGGCCAUCUGAGCU